GGAGGGGCGGCCAGCCCCGGAGGCCGAAGUUGCCGGGCGCGGAGUGGAGGCGGGGGGAGGCAGGGAAACAGAGAACGGAAGCUCCAUGGUACUCAGCUCUCCUUGGACCCACCCACAUGGUGGCAGGGUUCUGCAUCCUUCCAAACAACCACAGAUCCAGUUCUGCUUGAGGGGAGGAGCAGACCCUCGCCCACAAUGCUGAAAGGAAGCAUGCAACCAGCCCCAGCUGGGGGUAGAGGCCUCCAACUCACAGCAGGUGUGCUGCUCACUGCCUUCCCAGCAACCGACUCUUGCUUCUACC